rnacentral:rRNA from 1 species
UUUUGUGGGGUGCUCGAGUGGCGAACGGGUGAGUAACACGUGAGUAACCUGCCCUUGACUUUGGGAUAACUUCAGGAAACUGGGGCUAAUACCGGAUAGGAGCUCCUGCUGCAUGGUGGGGGUUGGAAAGUUUCGGCGGUUGGGGAUGGACUCGCGGCUUAUCAGCUUGUUGGUGGGGUAGUGGCUUACCAAGGCUUUGACGGGUAGCCGGCCUGAGGGGUGACCGGCCACAUUGGGACUGAGAUACGGCCCAG